rnacentral:rRNA from 1 species
AACGAACGCUGGCGGCAUGCCUAACACAUGCAAGUCGAACGAGCCCUUCGGGUCCAGUCGCGCACGGGUGCGUAACGCGUGGGAACCUGCCCUUAGGUUUGGCAUAACUCCCCGAAAGGGGUGCUAAUACCGGAUAAUGUCUUCGGCCCAAAGAUUUAUUGCCUUUGGAUGGACCCGCGUUGGAUUCGCUAGUUGUGACGGUUAAAGCCUACCAAGGCGACGAUCCAUAGCUGGGCAGAGAGGAUGCUUAGCGACACUGAGAGUAAGACGCGGCCCAGACUCCUACGGGAGGCGGCAGUGGGGAAUAGUGGACAGUGGGCGGAGGCCUGAAGCAGCUAUGCCGCGUGAAUGAUGAAAGCCGUAAAGUAGUAAAGCUCAAGUACCCAGGAAGAUAAUGACAGUACCGAGUGAGAAAGCUCCGGCUAACUCCGUG